rnacentral:rRNA from 1 species
AUUGAACGCUGGCGGCAGGACUAACACAUGCAAGUCGAGCGGAUGAAGGGAGCUUGCUCCUGGAUUCAGCGGCGGACGGGUGAGUAAUGCCUAGGAAUCUGCCUGGUAGUGGGGGAUAACGUCCGGAAACGGGCGCUAAUACCGCAUACGUCCUGAGGGAGAAAGUGGUGGAUCUUCGGACCUCACGCUAUCAGAUGAGCCUAGGUCGGAUUAGCUAGUUGGUGGGGUAAAGGCCUCCCAAGGCGAGGAUACGUGACUGGUCUGUGGGGAUGAUCAGUCACACUGGAACUGAGAUACGGUACAGACUAGUACGGGAGGCAGCGGUGGAGAAUAUUAGACUAUGGGCGGAAGGCUAGUCCAACCAUGCCGCGUGUGUUAAAAAAGUCUUCGGAUUGUAAAGCUCUUCUAGUUGUGAAGAAGAGCAGUAAGGUAAACCCUUGCUGUUUUGACGGUACCUAACGAAUAAGCACCGGCUAACUCCGUG